GUUAGGGUUAGGGUUAGGGUUAGGGUUAGGGUUAGGGUUAGGGUUAGGGUUAGGGUUAGGGUUAGGGUUAGGGUUAGGGUUAGGGUUAGGGUUAGGGUUGGGGUUAGGGUUAGGGUUAGGGAUAGGGUUAGGGUUAGGGUUAGGGUUAGGGUUAGGGUUAGGGUAGGGUUAGGGUUAGGGUUAGGGUAGGGUUAGGGUUAGGGUUAGGCUUAGGGUUAGGGUUAGGGUUAGGGUUAGGGUUAGGGUUAGGGUUAGGCUUAGGCUUAGGGUUAGGGUUAGGGUUAUGGUUAGGGUUAGGGUUAGGUUAGGGUUAGGGGUAGGGUUAGGGGUAUGGUUAGGGUUAGUUUUAGGGUUAGGGUUAGGGUUAGGGUUAGGGUUAGGGUUCGGUUAGUGUUACGGUUAGGGUUUGGGAUAGGGUUGGGUUAGAGUUAGGCUUAGUGUUAGGGUUAGGGUUAGGUUUAGGGUUGGGUUAGGGUUAGGGUUAGGGUUAGGGGUAGGGUUAGGGUAGGGUUAGGGUUAGGGUUAGGGUUAGGGUUAGGAUUAGGGUUAGGGUUAGUGUUAGGGUUUGGGUUAGGGUUAGGGUUAGGGUUAGGGUUAGGGUAGGGUUAGGGUUAGGGUUAGGGUUAGGGAUAGGGUUAGGGUUAGGGUAGGGUUAGGGUUAGGGUUAGGGUUAGGGUUAGGGUUAAGGUUUGGGUUAGGGUUAGGGUUAGUGUUAGUUCUGGGGAUGCGUUAGGGUUAGGGUUAGGGUUAGGUUUACGGUUACGGUUAGGGUUAGGGUUCGGAUUAGGGUUACGGUUAGGGUUAGGGUUAGGGUUAGGGUAGGGUAAGGGUUAGGGUUAGGGUUAGGGUUAGGGUUUGGGUUAGGGUUAGGGUUAGGGUUAGGGUUAUUGUUAGGUUUUGGGUUAGGGUUAGGGUUAGUGUUAGGGUGUUGUGCAAAUAAUUAACUAGAAAAACAAACAAACAAGCAAACAAAAAAACACACCUGUGGGAAUACACGAAAAACUGUUCAGAGCAGAAGCUAUGUAGCAAGAUAAACAGCAUGAGAACCAAGGACAUCUCUAGAAAAAGAACGAAUGGCUCACAGCUCUGAUUGGAUAAGCGUCCACAAGAACGGUUGAAGAGCGUUUGUAGAAUACUUUGUUGACAUGUAAAGGUGGAUGGGAAAGUUGUAGGGGUGGAUGGGAAAGCUAGAAAAAGAAAACUUGUGAAGGUAUAUAAGUGAUGUGAGAACUUGUAAUAAAUGAUUUGGAUCGUUCACAUCUGAGUCUGUGCAUCAGGCACUGCACAGACCCAAAUUAGGAAGCUGCAGACAAGCAGCUUUUCCAAAUAAACUAAUUAAUGUCAAUAGUAAUGACAGUGAUUUUUAAAAAUUUCUUGCAAGUAGAUGAACUUUCAUUCCUUGGAGAGUUGACUGUAGAGACGUUCUGAUGAGAUCUAUAAUAUAUAUCAGUGUCAUUAGUUAAUUGAGCAGUUACUGGAAUGCAUGUAGUAAUACACAAAGGUUUUGUUUCGAGAUUAACUUGCCAUCUUUGUGGCCCUACUCCUCAUAAGACUUUUGCUCCACACCCUUCACCAGCUUCAUUGCUAUUCUCUGGACAUGCUCCAGGGCCUCAAUAUUUUCUUGUACUGAAUGGCUCGAAACUGAACACAGUACUUGGGUGCAGCCUCAUCAGUGCCAAGUACAGAAGGAUGAUCACCUCUCUAGUCCUUUCCUUAUUGGUCACCUGGGCAUGCUGCUCUCGUGUUCAUCCAGCUUUUGACUAAUACCCCCAGAUUCUUUUCCGUGGUGCAGCU
ensembl:lncRNA